rnacentral:rRNA from 1 species
UGGGGAAUUUUGCACAAUGGGGGAAACCCUGAUGCAGCGACGCCGCGUGAUUUAGAAGGCCUUCGGGUUGUAAAAAUCUUUUCUAUGGGAAGAAAAUGACAGUACCAUAGGAAUAAGGACCGGCUAAUUACGUGCCAGCAGCCGCGGUAAUACGUAAGGUCCGAGCGUUGUCCGGAAUCAUUGGGCGUAAAGGGUACGUAGGCGGGUAAGCAAGUUAGAAGUGAAAUACUAUAGCUUAACUAUAGUAAGCUUUUAAAACUGCUCAUCUUGAGGGAUGGAAGGGAAAGUGGAAUUCCUAGUGUAGCGGUGAAAUGCGCAGAUAUUAGGAGGAAUACCGGUGGCGAAGGCGACUUUCUGGCCAUAACCUGACGCUGAGGUACGAAAGCGUGGGUAGCAAACAGG